GACGAACGCUGGCGGCGUGCCUAAUACAUGCAAGUAGAACGCUGAAGAGAGGAGCUUGCUCUUCUUGGAUGAGUUGCGAACGGGUGAGUAACGCGUAGGUAACCUGCCUUGUAGCGGGGGAUAACUAUUGGAAACGAUAGCUAAUACCGCAUAACAAUGGAUGACCCAUGUCAUUUAUUUGAAAGGGGCAAAUGCUCCACUACACGCUGGACCUGCGUUGUAUUAGCUAGUAGGUGAGGUAACGGCUCACCUAGGCGACGAUACAUAGCCGACCUGAGAGGGUGAUCGGCCACACUGGGACUGAGACACGGCCCAGACUCCUACGGGAGGCAGCAGUAGGGAAUCUUCGGCAAUGGGGGCAACCCUGACCGAGCAACGCCGCGUGAGUGAAGAAGGUUUUCGGAUCGUAAAGCUCUGUUGUAAGUCAAGAACGAGUGUGAGAGUGGAAAGUUCACACUGUGACGGUAGCUUACCAGAAAGGGACGGCUAACUACGUG
rnacentral:rRNA from 1 species